CCUACGGGUGGCAGCAGUAGGGAAUAUUGCGCAAUGGGGGAAACCCUGACGCAGCAACGCCGCGUGGAGGAUGAAGGUCUUCGGAUCGUAAACCCCUUUUGUUAGAGAAGAUAAUUACCUUUUCUAACGAAUAAUCACCUGCUAAUUCCGUGCCAGCAACCGCCGUAAUACGGAGGGCCCGAGCGUUCAUAGGAAUUACUGGGCGUAAAGAGCGCGUAGGCGGGAUAGCAAGCCACAUGUGAAAUCCUAGGGCUUAACCAGGGAACUGCAUUUGAAACUGGUAAUCUAGAGUGUGUGAGAGGAAGGUGGAAUUCCUGGUGUAGGGGUGAAAUCCGUAGAGAUCAGGAGGAACACUCGUGGCGAAGGCGACCUGCUAGAACAUAACUGACGCUGAGGCGCGAAAGCGUGGGGAGCAAACAGGAUUAGAUACCCGAGUAGUC
rnacentral:rRNA from 1 species